rnacentral:rRNA from 1 species
CGGCGUGCUUAACACAUGCAAGUCGAACGGAAAGGCCCUGCUUUUGUGGGGUGCUCGAGUGGCGAACGGGUGAGUAACACGUGAGUAACCUGCCCUUGACUUUGGGAUAACUUCAGGAAACUGGGGCUAAUACCGGAUAGGAGCUCCUGCUGCAUGGUGGGGGUUGGAAAGUUUCGGCGGUUGGGGAUGGACUCGCGGCUUAUCAGCUUGUUGGUGGGGUAGUGGCUUACCAAGGCUUUGACGGGUAGCCGGCCUGAGAGGGUGACCGGCCACAUUGGGACUGAGAUACGGCUCAGACUCCUACGGGAGGCAGCAGUGGGGAAUAUUGCACAAUGGGCGGAAGCCUGAUGCAGCAACGCCGCGUGCGGGAUGACGGCCUUCGGGUUGUAAACCGCUUUCGCCUGUGACGAAGCGUGAGUGACGGUAAUGGGUAAAGAAGCACCGGCUAACUACGUGCCAGCAGCCGCGGUGAUACGUAGGGUGCGAGCGUUGUCCGGAUUUAUUGGGCGUAAAGGGCUCGUAGGUGGUUGAUCGCGUCGGAAGUGUAAUCUUGGGGCUUAACCCUGAGCGUGCUUUCGAUACGGGUUGACUUGAGGAAGGUAGGGGAGAAUGGAAUUCCUGGUGGAGCGGUGGAAUGCGCAGAUAUCAGGAGGAACACCAGUGGCGAAGGCGGUUCUCUGGGCCUUUCCUGACGCUGAGGAGCGAAAGCGUGGGGAGCGAACAGGCUUAGAUACCCUGGUAGUCCACGCUGUAAACGGUGGGUACUAGGUGUGGGGUCCAUUCCACGGGUUCCGUGCCGUAGCUAACGCUUUAAGUACCCCGCCUGGGGAGUACGGCCGCAAGGCCAAAACUCAAAGGAAUUGACGGGGCCCCGCACAAGCGGCGGAGCAUGCGGAUUAAUUCGAUGCAACGCGUAGAACCUUACCUGGGUUUGACAUGGAUCGGGAGUGCUCAGAGAUGGGUGUGCCUCUUUUGGGGUCGGUUCACAGGUGGUGCAUGGCUGUCGUCAGCUCGUGUCGUGAGAUGUUGGGUUAAGUCCCGCAACGAGCGCAACCCUUGUUCACUGUUGCCAGCACGUUAUGGUGGGGACUCAGUGGAGACCGCCGGGGUCGACUCGGAGGAAGGUGGGGAUGACGUCAAGUCAUCAUGCCCCUUAUGUCCAGGGCUUCACGCAUGCUACAAUGGCUGGUACAGAGAGUGGCGAGCCUGUGAGGGUGAGCGAAUCUCGGAAAGCCGGUCUCAGUUCGGAUUGGGGUCUGCAACUCGACCUCAUGAAGUCGGAGUCGCUAGUAAUCGCAGAUCAGCAACGCUGCGGUGAAUACGUUCCCGGGGCUUGUACACACCGCCCGUCAAGUCAUGAAAGUUGGUAACACCCGAAGCCGGUGGCCUAACCGUUGUGGGGGAGCCGUCGAAGGUGGGACUGGUGAUUAGGACUAAGUC